UCUCCGUUGGUGAACCAGCGGAGGGAUCAUUACUGAGUAUAACACUCUAUAACCCUUUGUGAACCUACCUAUUUGUUGCUUCGGCGGCUCGGCCCCUCGCCGGGUUGGCCGCCGGAGGUACCUAAACUGAUUGCCUUUUGGCGUGGAUUAUCUUCUGAGUCUUCAUUUACGAAUGAAUUAAAACUUUCAACAACGGAUCUCUUGGUUCUG
rnacentral:misc_RNA from 1 species